AUUUGCUUACUUAAAGUUUUAAGACAAACCAUGAUGCUUCAUAGACAUUUUUAUACAAAGGGCAAGAGGAAGGAAUUGAAGUGUUUUAUCUGUGUAAAAGGAAAUCACAGAAUUUUACCAAUAGCAACAACGUGUUUCAAAAAAAUGAUUUUAACAAGAUAAUGAUGACAACAAAAAGUUGCUAUGAAAAAAAAUUGAUUGGCGCAGAAAGGUUGUUCAAAGGUGGUAUGAAAUGUUUUUAUAAUUUUGUGUAUGCAUUUCUAUAAAGCGAAGCAGUAAGCAAAUAACAGCGUGUAGUAGGUGUGUCAUUUAUAGCCGACAUUUUGUAUUUAGUUCUGCUAAGAUAUGUAGCUAGGAUCAUCAUUUUCUCUCCGCGAUGUAAUAAAAAAAGUGCAAAACUCUCAUAAUUUAUAUAUCAUCUUCAAAUCGGUGUUAACAAAGGCGACUAAACAGUGUCUAAAAAUCAGCAAAUAUUCAAUCCUGCGAACAAGGACAAAAAUUUCCUCGAAAUAUCUGUAAAUUUAGGUUUACAUUUACUUUCAAAAAUGAGCCAUAUAUUAUAUAUUUGAGGAUGCAACUUGUGUUACGUACGAGUUCAGUGUCCCGUAAAAUACAAAUUUUGUACAAAAAACUCAAAAAUUUUUAAAAAAA